GCUCAUUAGAAUACUUUAAUGAAGUACACUAUAUUUAGUUAUUAUGACCCGGCUCAUUGCAUAUGACCCGGCGCGUACGAUAAAAACAAAUUAAAUAAAUAAUUAAAUCACAAUUGGAGUUUUGUGUAAACGCUAAACACGUUUAUAAAUCCCAAACAAACAACAUAAUAACGCAUAAGGUGCUUUGGAGUUAUUUAUCUGGCGAUAACGUGUGACUGUAAAACCUGUACAAGAAAAUGAAAGCCAACCUGAGUGUUUUAGAAUAGUGCGGUAAAAAUUAAACAAAAAAAUUAGGUACUAAUUUCGGGGCUGGGGAGGAGGAUUAAAAGUUAUUGGCUGAAUGAGUUUAGGAGGCAAUGCACGAAUAUAAUUAAUUUUUAUAGUUAAUUUGACGUCAUUAACAACAAGGCGAAUAAGAUCAUACCAAUGACUAUACGAAACAGCCACUCCUAUGCAUACAAGACAGUUGGAUGGAUGUCCGUUUUGAGAAUACAGGGUAAGGCAAUGGUUUCCGAAAGGAUUAUUUAAUCUUAAAACCAUUAUUUGUAUACAGAACUGAUAAACUAUUCUGUCCUGUUAUAUACCUACAGCUAAUGUGCUCAGAUUCU